rnacentral:rRNA from 1 species
UACGUAGGGUCCGAGCGUUGUCCGGAAUUAUUGGGCGUAAAGAGCGUGUAGGCGGCCAGAUAAGUCCGCUGUGAAAUCUCGAGGCUCAACUUCGAGCUGUCGGUGGAAACUGUCUGGCUAGAGUCCGGAAGAGGAGAAUGGAAUUCCUGGUGUAGCGGUGAAAUGCGCAGAUAUCAGGAAGAACACCCGUGGCGAAGGCGGUUCUCUGGGACGGUACUGACGCUGAGACGCGAAAGCGUGGGGAGCAAACAGG